AUCGAACGCUGGCGGCAGGCCUAACACAUGCAAGUCGAACGAGAGGCGGACGGGUGAGUAAUGUCUGGGAAACUGCCUGAUGGAGGGGGAUAACGACGGGAAACGGUAGCUAAUACCGCAUACCAUCAGAUGUGCCCAGAGGGGAUUAGCUAGUAGGUGGGGUAACGGCUCACGUAGGCGACGAGCCCUAGCUGGUCUGAGAGGAAGACCAGCCACACUGGAACGGAGACACGGUCCAGACUCCUACGGGAGGCAGCAGUGGGGAAUAUUGCGCAAUGGGCGCAAGCCUGAUGCAGCAAUGCCGCGUGUGUGAAGAAGGUCUUCGGGUUGUAAAGCACUUUCAGCGGGGAGGCGUUACCCGCAGAAGAAGCACCGGCUAACUCCGUGCCAGCAGCCGCGGUAAUAC
rnacentral:rRNA from 1 species